GGGGGGACCAGGGUGGUAGGGUGCAAGCGUGAUGAGCAUGUUUCUCAAUGAUCUCCCUGUAACCUGGUCCUGGUGACGUACAUCUUUUCAUUCUCCUUAUUCUCUUUCCUAUCACCCGAGCAAAGAGGCUUAUCUUGGGUGUGUGACAUCAUAGACAUCUCCUUGGUGUGUGGAGUGAGGCAUAGCUACCCUUUCCUAUCGAACGGUGCCUCUCAGCACAGCUUCCGCUGCUUGCCCUGGAAGGACACCACGGGUGGUUGGGUGGCUUGAAGUGCCAUGGCCAUGCGUUUCCGGGCGAGAUGAGCCUAUCUCACUUUUCCUGGUGUUAUCUCGCCUUUUAGCACAUUGAGCACUCAGCAGGGCCACGCUAAGUAAGAGGCGGAUGCAUGGGUUUCCUUCCAUGGCCACCCCAACGCAGGGCGAUCGUUCCAUCUCAGGGCCCACGCUAGCCAGAUAAUGGGGGAAGAGAGAACAAGCUGGGAUUUGCUCCCUGAAUCAUCUGAAUCAUCUGCCAGCUGUCUGCACAACCCGAGAGGCAGACCUGACCGGCUUUCAUGGUGAACCAUGAUGUUAGGAGAAGGGAACUCCAGCCGGACGAGUCAGUCCCAGGCGAGCUCUUCAGGCAGCAGCAUCCGGAGGCUUCAUCGUCUGGACUGCACAUGGAACACACUCUGUCUGGAAGUCACUAGAAGAAUGGUGGAGGAUAGCUACGUGGACUUGGAGACCAAGGACCAGGCCUGGGAAACUGGGAUUUAGAUCCUAGAAAAGAAGAGGAGAGACGCUGCCAGCUUACCUCAGAGAAUCACUAGGUGAGUUAACAGCUCACCUUGAUGCCUUCUGUGUCCGGGACCCCAGGUGGUUUUCAGCAGCAGGCACGAUUUCAUUUGGAACCUUGGUUGGUGCCAUAAAAGUUUAACCCAUUUAACCCAGUCUAGAAAACCUGCACUGAGAUCCUUGGACAUAGGUUUUCUAAGAAGACUGAGAAGGUGCCCACACGUUGGGGAGCUUCCUGGUAAAUUAUAACCCUAGUGGGGAAGAAGCCUUCUCCUAUGUCAGCC
rnacentral:lncRNA from 1 species